rfam:Nestor notabilis contig2909, whole genome shotgun sequence.
CCAAAGGCUCUUUUAAGAGCCGACCACUUAAACUGGAAAUGAGCUG